AUGAACGCUAGCGACAGGCUUAACACAUGCAAGUCGAGGGGCAGCGGGAUUGAAGCUUGCUUCAAUUGCCGGCGACCGGCGCACGGGUGAGUAACACGUAUGCAACCUGCCCGCCACAGGGGAAUAACCGGAAGAAAUUCCGACUAAUUCCGCGUAACACCGAAGUGAGGCAUCUCGUUUCGGUCAAAGGAGCAAUCCGGUGGCGGAUGGGCAUGCGGCGCAUUAGCUAGUCGGCGGGGUAACGGCCCACCGAGGCGACGAUGCGUAGGGGUUCUGAGAGGAAGGUCCCCCACACUGGUACUGAGACACGGACCAGACUCCUACGGGAGGCAGCAGUGAGGAAUAUUGGUCAAUGGGCGAGAGCCUGAACCAGCCAAGUCGCGUGAGGGAAGACGGCCCUACGGGUUGUAAACCUCUUUUGUCAGGGAGCAAGAACAGGCACGCGUGCCUGACUGAGAGUACCUGAAGAAAAAGCAUCGGCUAACUCCGUGCCAGCAGCCGCGGUAAUACGGAGGAUGCGAGCGUUAUCCGGAUUUAUUGGGUUUAAAGGGUGCGUAGGCGGACUGCCAAGUCAGCGGUAAAAUUGCGGGGCUCAACCCCGUCGAGCCGUUGAAACUGGUGGUCUUGAGUGGGCGAGAAGUACGCGGAAUGUGUGGUGUAGCGGUGAAAUGCAUAGAUAUCACGCAGAACUCCGAUUGCGAAGGCAGCGUACCGGCGCCCAACUGACGCUGAAGCACGAAAGCGUGGGUAUCGAACAGGAUUAGAUACCCUGGUAGUCCACGCAGUAAACGAUGAAUGCUAGCUGUCCGGGACGAAUGAGUCCUGGGUGGCACAGCGAAAGCGUUAAGCAUUCCACCUGGGGAGUACGCCGGCAACGGUGAAACUCAAAGGAAUUGACGGGGGCCCGCACAAGCGGAGGAACAUGUGGUUUAAUUCGAUGAUACGCGAGGAACCUUACCCGGGCUUGAAAGUUACUGACGAUUCUGGAAACAGGAUUUCCCUUCGGGGCAGGAAACUAGGUGCUGCAUGGUUGUCGUCAGCUCGUGCCGUGAGGUGUCGGCUUAAGUGCCAUAACGAGCGCAACCCCUAUUGACAGUUGCUAACGGGUUAAGCCGAGGACUCUGUCGAGACUGCCGGCGCAAGCUGUGAGGAAGGCGGGGAUGACGUCAAAUCAGCACGGCCCUUACGUCCGGGGCGACACACGUGUUACAAUGGCAGGUACAGCGGGAAGCCACCUGGCGACAGGGAGCAGAACCCGAAAACCUGUCUCAGUUCGGAUUGGAGUCUGCAACCCGACUCCAUGAAGCUGGAUUCGCUAGUAAUCGCGCAUCAGCCAUGGCGCGGUGAAUACGUUCCCGGGCCUUGUACACACCGCCCGUCAAGCCAUGGGAGCCGGGGGUACCUGAAGUGCGUUACCGCAAGGAGCGCCCUAAGGUAAAACUGGUGACUGGGGCU
rnacentral:rRNA from 1 species